AAACCGAGGCAGGACGUCCACGCCUCGCACCCGGAACGAUCCCCUCCCACACACCGGCCUCCCCGCAGGCCGCCGCUCCACUCUGGGCUGCACGUGGACGGAGGGUCUCGGAGACAGGCGACCCCCGCCGCCUCCGUCCGCCAGCAGGCCCCCGAGCCCCCGUUCCUCGCGCGAGUUCCCUGCAGCAGUGAUUCGGACCCCUGAAAUCGCGACCCGCGCGCUGCCCCUGGCUCCGGACGGUCCCGCCGCCCCCUAGUCACCUCCCUCUCGCCCUACAAAUGCGCCCACUCCCCGCCGCUUCUCCCAAAAGCCAUUUCCAGCUGCUCUUCCUUCCGAGGCCGGCUCGCCCACCCGCCCAGGUGGAUUCUUUACCAGCUGAGCCACAAGAGAAUCCCAAGAAUACUGGAGUAGGUAGCCUAUCCCUUCUCCAGCGGAUCUUCCCAACCCAGGAAUUGAGAACCGGGAUCUCCUUUACCAACUGAGCUAUGAGGGAAGCCCAUGGAGUUCGACAAAUUGGAGAGAUACCUGUAAUGGGCCAAUCAAUUGAAGCUGCGAACUCAUCUAAGUAGAGAAGGAAGAAGAAUCAAAGAUGAGCCUGAAGGAUUAGUGAUGCCAUUUGUAUAAAUGGAAAAAUAGAAGAGAUGCAGUGGAAAAAGCAGGAGGACUAGAAGAGGAGCCUGAAGAUGUGACUGAAUUGCUAUAAUCUCAUGAUAAAACUAAUGGAUGAAGAGUCUUUUAUUCCAGGUGAGCAAAGAAAGUAGUUUCUUGAGAUAGAAUUUACUCCUGGUGCUGUUGCCGAGAAGAAGGCUGAAGUGACAAGGAAGGAGUGACAGUAUUACGUAAUCUUAGUUGACAAAGCUAUGGCAAGGUUAGAGGGCAUUGCCUCUCAUUUUGAAAGAAGUUCUGCUAUAAGGAAAGUGCUAUCAAACGGCAUUGCAUGCUACGGAGAAACUGUGAAAGGAAGAGUCAAUCAAUGCAGUCGAUCAUUGUUGUCCUAUUUUAAGAAAUUGUCACAGCCGUUGCAGCCUUUAGCAGCCACCACCCUGAUUAGUUAGCAGUCAUCAACAUCAAGGCAAGACCUUCCACCAGCAAAGAGAUUAAAAUUAUGAUGGCUAGUAUUUCUUAGCAAUAAAGUAUUUAUAAAGUCCGUACAUGUUUCUUAUUUAUUUAUUUUGCAGUAGAAUUGG